rnacentral:rRNA from 1 species
AUUGAACGCUGGCGGCAUGCUUUACGCAUGCAAGUCGAACGGUAACAGGCCGCAAGGUGCUGACGAGUGGCGCACGGGUGAGUAAUGCAUCGGAACGUGCCCAGUCGUGGGGGAUAACUACUCGCAAGAGUAGCUAAUACCGCAUACGAUCUAUGGAUGAAAGCGGGGGACCGUAAGGCCUCGCGCGAUUGGAGCGGCCGAUGUCAGAUUAGGUAGUUGGUGGGGUAAAGGCUCACCAAGCCAACGAUCUGUAGCUGGUCUGAGAGGACGACCAGCCACACUGGGUCUGAGACACGGCCCAGACUCCUACGGGAGGCAGCAGUGGGGAAUUUUGGACAAUGGGCGCAAGCCUGAUCCAGCAAUGCCGCGUGCAGGAAGAAGGCCUUCGGGUUGUAAACUGCUUUUGUACGGAACGAAACGGCUCUGGUUAAUACCCGGGGCUAAUGACGGUACCGUAAGAAUAAGCACCGGCUAACUACGUG